AAGUUCUUGUUAAAGAAAGAUUACCUAAAUUUACAGAAGAAGAAUCCAAGUUCAUAAAAGGGUCAUUUGAUUUUGUUGGAAUGAAUUAUUAUACUACUCACUAUUCAAGAGAUCAACCUCAUAAUAAUUCUGCAAAUGCAAGCUACUUGACCGAUACUCGCGUUUUUGAAUCAAGUGAGUACAAAAUGAGAAACCAAUUAUUUAAUUUGAGUAAUUUAAGUUCAUCAAAAUAUUUAAAAUCUCAUAUUCCUAUAUAUUGUGGCAGCCGAGCUUAAUGGAGUCCCCCUUGGUCCUCCGGUACGCAUCGAACAAUUAGCUAAACUAUUUGCAUUCAAAGAGUAAUUGUUUUUCAUUUAGUUAACUUACCUUCAUAUAUUGGGGUUGCAGGCUGCUUCAAGCUGGCUAGUUGUUUAUCCAAAAGGCAUUCGAGAGCUUUUACUCUACACAAAGCACAAAUAUAAUGAUCCGCUUAUUUUCAUUACCGAGAACUGUAAUUAUUUUUAAGCCUUAAUUAACUAAAUAAUUAAUGCUUCACAUGUAUAUUGUGUAAAAUGCAGUUGACAUCUAUAAGCGAUCUACAUAUAAAACUAGAUGGGAACUCACGAACAUUUGGCAAUCGGUUGAAUCGAUAGGAAUGAAAUGAUGAAUCUAUUUCUUCGCCUCUUUGUCAAUAAAAAACAUCAAAUAACAAAUUAAUUAUAUUGCAGGCAUUGAUGAGUUAAAUGAUCCUACAUUGUCACUUCUGCAAUCCUUCAAUGAUACCCACAUAAUUGAUUACCACUACCAUCACCUCGACUAUCUUCGAAAAGCAAUCAAGUAAGUUCUUUUCAAAAGUUAAAUAAGGUUUAACUUAUAUCUUUUACUUAUCACUACACUAGACAUAAUAACAUUUGAAAUUUGCCUUUUUUGUGCGGUGAUGGUGUAAAUGUGAAGGGAUACUUUUCAUGGUCAUUGUUGGACAAUUUUGAAUGGGAUUCUGGAUACACCGUACGAUUUGGUUUCAUCUAUAUAUAUUACAAUGAUGGACUUAAGAGGCACCCAAAACUCUUAGCAAGCUGGUUCAAAUAAAUAUGCCAAGCAUAUCAUUUCUCUAUUUUCAUUAUUGUAUUCCUUUAUGAAUGCUCUCCCUUUUUCGUAAAAUAAAUAUGCCAAUUAUAUAUGGAUGUUUUUUUGUGUAUGGACAAAAUUAAAAAAUGGUCCCUAUAACAUAUAGGAUGUGGGAAUAUGAUUUUCUGGGCCUAUAACAUGUGGCAUCGGGUGGCAAGAGGGACCGGAAUACUCGUAACCCAUGAAGCAUAGUCCUUAGUCUGACAUACUACACAUUGAAGAUGUUACUUGUCUCAUAAGUAAGAAAACCCUAAUUCAAGUCAAAUUAGGAUAUCUUAGAAAUAGGUAUCAUAAGAAGAUUUGAUAUCUUAUCCUAGAUUCCCGAUUUGAUAGGCUUACUCUCCCUACCAAGACUAUGAAGAUGGACUCUGAAGAACUGUUCACCUUCUCUACAACUAUCAUAUGCAUAUUCUCUCUACGCCUAACAGAGACUCAUCUUGCAUACACGCCGCCGUUUACACAUAGACGCGUUCAUUAGAAACUUAUCUUCUUAACGCCUCACCAUAGGUUAUUCGUCAAGAAUAGUUCAUGAUGUAGCUCACAUCGCACCAUUCUUUCUUAGAGUUACACCGGUGAGGUAAUGCAUUUGUAUUGAUUAACCUUUCAAACCAUAAAUCUGCAUUUGCAUACAACACACAUAGCUUUACACCUAAAUUCCACGAUCACAUGAAUUAAGGACAUUCUUGAUGAAAUCAAGCAUGUUAGAACCCAUCACAACAUUUACGCAUUGACUAUUCAAAACAUAGAAGAACAUGAUAUUUUGAAGAAAAAGGAGAACAAUUUAGGAGGUUAGGCCACUCUAACCGACCCGGCCAAAUGGUCAUAGGGCUAAAAAUAGCUUUGAAUGACACGAAAACUAUUUCUAAUCGAGGGCUAGGCUAAAGGGCUUGUGGGCCCCAUUGGGUCAAAAAGGUAAAAUCAGGCCAGCAGGUUGGCCAUUUCUAGCCAGCCAGCCAGCCCGCCCUGCAGCCUAACCCACUCGACUGCCAACGGCUACCUGACGUCAGGUUAAUGUUGGAAUUUGAAAAUUUUUUUGGACGAAUUUAAAAAAAAAAAGCUAUUUUUUUCCUAUAAAUACCUAAGUCAUUCCUACACCAUUUUUCACAUCCUUUUUCACCAUUCCAUACUAUCUUACCUCUUGCAAUAAUCUUUCUUUUAAUUUUUUCAAUAAUUUUCAAAAGGCCACAUCUGCAAUGAAGAAAAGGCUUGGACCCAAAAAGAAGAUGAAGCUCUUUGCAGGGCUUAUAGAUGGGUCUUGGAAGAUAGUGUCAAUGAUUGUUCUCAAACAAGUGAAUGUGUUUGGACUCGUACGUCCAAAAAGUACUAUGAGUUCUACGAAGGCACCACUCCACUGAAACCACGAGAGUUGUUCUUCAAGAUGAAAAAAACAUCUUCAACCAAGUUUGAAUAAAUGACAUCAAGCCGUGGUAAGCGACGAAAGGAGAAAUGAAAGCAGAGCCAAUUACUACAACCAAUAAGUGUUUUCACAAGUUAUUUUAAAUAUUUAAUUAUAUUACAUUUAAUUUCUUAAAUUAAUUUCCUUUAAUUUUCGUAACUAUAUUUUCUAGGUACGUCAAGCAGAGGAAUUGUAUAUGGAGGACAUGAAAAAACCCUUUACUCAUUAUGGUUAUUGGGAAAUUUGUAAAGGGUGGGUGUUAUUUCAAGAUCUACCUCAAGAAAGAUUUGAUCCUAUCUAAAAAUUGCACAACCAAUUACAUCUCGACACAUGACACUCAAAAUCCUAUCCGAAAAAUUACUAAGAUUGCAUAAAGAUAAGAAAUCAGGAGAGUUACUCACUUUAACGACACGUGUCACUCGAAAUCCUAUUUGAAAAAUUAUUGAGAUUAUAAAAACAAAAAAUUUGGAGGCUUAUUCAUUUGGCGACAAGUGACACUCAAAAUAUGUUCGAAAACCUUAUUUUAAUAUGGUAGUUUAAUUUAAUUAACCAUAUUAAUUAAAUUAAAAUAAUAAAUUAUGUUUGGCCCGUUUGGCCUUCUCGGUUGGAGAUCAGUUUUUUGUCAAAUGGCUAUGUUUAGCUUAUGACCUUUUGCCCCUCUCGGUUGGAGAUGGUAUAAAAUAUGGUCUGACAUUGUUUAUGAAAAUAUAAUUUCUUGUAGAGGGCUAAACAUAGCCCUUUGACCAUCAUUCAGUUGGAGAUAGUCUUAGAACUAUAGAAAGGAAAAGCUAAUGUCUGAAACAGAAGCAGAAAGUGGAAAAUGACAUGACGCGAGCUCAAUAGCAUUAGCAAACUCAAAUGUCUUAAUGCUUCAUCAACAAUCAAGCUAAAAUUGGGCAAAACACAUUGAAUUAAUGCAGAAUCUGGAAAUAAAGAAAAAAGAAAAAAUCCAUAAAUAAAUCCAACUGAGCCAUGAAAUUUAAAUUUACGUACCACAGCUAAGAAAUCAAAAUAUGUAAAAUCGUAUAUAUGGGCAAUGUUCGUUUUCUUCUAAAAGUUGGAACCCUUAGCUUUUGGUCAUCUGGAGAUCACCAGAAAGCUCUAAACUCGAAUCUUACUUUUCAAUCAGACCGAAAUGCGAACUGCACGACCUUCUCGUCAUUCAGAUUCAUCCCGGUCAUUGCCUCGCCCAAUCCGCAGCUGAUCUCCGCCAGCACAUCCGGGUCACUAUAAUAGGUUGAAGCCUGCACAAUAGCCUAGGCUCUCCGGGCAGGGUCACUGCUAUUGAACAUGCCCGACCUGACGAAAACCCCAUUGCACCUCUACUGCAUCAUCAGCUUCGCGUCUGCGGGAGUUGGCACGCCACCAAUGGCAAAAUGCACCACCGGCAGCCUCUCGAGCUGCUUCGUCUACAUCAUGAGAUCGUACGGCACCGAGAUCUUCUUCGCGUACGCGAACACCUUGUUGUCGUCCAUGUUCCUCAAGGCCCUGAUGUCCCCCAUCACGUGACGCACGUGUCGAACGGCCUUUACGAUGUUUCUGGUGCCGGCUCCCCCUUCGUCCGGAUCAUCAUGGCGCCCUCGCAGAUUUUGCGGAACGCCUCGCCGAGAUUCUGACAUACUCAGACGAAUGGGACUGGAAAAUUAUGCUUGUUGAUGUGGUGCUCCUCGUCGAAAAUUAUGCUUGGGCCUCAACAAAAUGGCCAAUGCGAGCUUUGGCCAUGACGGGGAUAGUGACAGAGCGCUUGAUCUCCUUGAUGAGCUGGGGGUCGGACAUUCUGGCGACACCACCCUGGGAUCAGAUAUCGGCAGGAACGCGCUCCAGGGCCAUGACGGCGUAGGCACCAUCCUCUUAGGCGAUGCGGGCCUGGGCAGGGUUGACAACGUCUAUGAUGACGCCACCGCGGAGCAUUUGGGCUAGGCCGACUUUGAUGGCGAAUGGGGAAGACUUGGUGGUGGUUUCGUAUAUGGUGCCUGUUAUAUCCCGGCCCAGGCCCCCACUGCAUCCCGGGCUCGACUCUACCAUAGCACAAUAUUGUCUGCUUUGGGCCCCGACCACGCCCUCACGGUUUUGUUUCUAGGAACUCACGAGCAACUUCCCAGUGGGUCACCCAUCAUGGGAUUGCUCUCAUGCGAACUCGUUUAACUUCGGAGUUCCAAUGGAACACGAAGCCAAUGAGCUCCCAAAAGGCCUUGCGAUAGGUAGAGAUGGGAAUAUACAUAUAAGGCUUACAGGAUCCACUUCCCUAGGCGAUGUGUAAUGUUACAGUGCCUUUGCCGUAGACGGUGACGACGCCGCUUUUAUCAGCCAUUCUCUGGGGGAUUGGUGGAAUGUGAGAUUUCGCGAGAAAGGAGGAGGAAGGUGGUGCAUAGUGGAAAGUGAGUGGGGAAGAAGAUGAUGAUAUGGAAAUGGUAUAAAAUAAAUAAUGGUAUGGAACAGGGAUACACACACACAUUCUGCUACUCAAAUUUCCCGUAUCUAUUUUUGGCAACUUCUAUUUUUCCUAAAAGAGUAAUGUUAUUCAUAUCAUGUUUUUGUACCACAUUUUUAUACCACCUUAGUUGGCGUGUGAUGUGGAUAGCCACCUAUGGUGGUAUGAAAAUGUAGUACAAAAACAUGGUAUGAAUAUCAUUACUCUUCCUAAAAUGGAGUUUUUAGUAUACGGUUGAUUCAUUAAAUUACGUUUUUUUAUUUAUCUUUUUUACGUUUAAAUCACGAAAUUUUCACACUAGUUUCGGUGAUACACGUAUUCUACAUGUAUUUUAAAUAUAUUACUGGUAAAGUAAAAAUAAAAUAAGGACUUGUUACAUUUCAAACUCUAUGUUCGGGAUGAUUUUUAAAAUAGGCUAUGAGUUUCUAAUUUUCUCAAGAGUUUUAAAAUAGUAUCAAUCUAUAUAGUGUUCUACCAUUGUGACACCCAAUAUCAAUGGACAAAAACAAACAUUUUUUAGGCCGAGUAAACGGGUUAUGUUUUUGUCGUUCGUAUAAUACUAAUUAUCUUAACAAAUAAUAUCGUGUCAAAUCCAUUAUCUUAAAAAAUUCUUAUCAAGUGACCUAAUAAUAACUCGAAUAUCACAUAGGUAAUUCUCCGGAUAAUGACCACCUUGGCGGCUAUUCGGAGAGUAGACUACCAGGAUCUAGCAGCAGUGGACUCACGCAAUCGACAUUGAUCCAAACAUCAUAAAGUCAGGAAAAAGAAAGAAAAAGCUAAAAAUAAUACCCUUUUCAUGGGAAGAGAAUAAUUAUACUAUUUUAAUUACAAAAAUGAAAACUCAAAGAAUUAGGAUUAUUACACUACGACAGCAUAUAUCCUAGUUUCAUCGUCUCCGUCCCUUCGGAUUCAUGUCCUCCACGGCGUCCAUCGUUUCUUGUUUUUUCCGCUUCCAUCUCUUGAUGAGAUUACUAUCAGCCGACCGGAGAGUGCACGGCGGGCUAGGAGAAGGGUACGCGGUAGACCUUUUAAGCCAUUCUCUCUGUUUCGGGUCAGCAAGACAAAGCAGGGAUUCUGCACAUACUUCCAUAGCAGAAGCUGGAAUGUCUAGCUCGAAGUCCAGCAGCUUAGAGUACUCCACGAUGAGGUGAAACAUGUAAUCCUAGACCCGAUCCAUGCUUAGGCUUUCCAUGAAAUCCUGCCCUCUUUGUCCCAUUGCCUUAGCCUGUUCAGCCAUUGGAGUAUAUUUUAGCCUCGAUUAUGUUUUUUUUUUUCAAAAGAAGAUAUAAACUUGAAGGGAAAGCCGGGGUAAAACUGAAUUGUACAUUACUGAUGCAAAAUGUAACAACAGGAACGAGAACAUGAUAUAGAAUACUACUAACAGUUGAAAGAAGAAGGGAUUUUAUUCUACACAAAGGGGGAGGGGGUGGGUUUAGCCUUACAAUGGGCUAGUAAUAAUGUGGUUCAAAUUUGCAUUUGGCGAGAAUCGAACCUGAAUCGAACCUAAAACCUCACACUUACAAGUGAAGAGGAAUACCACUAGAUCGUAGUACUAAGUAGCAAGUAUUUACAAAUUAGAAGAAGGGAUUUUAUUCAUGAUGACCUAGCUUUGUUUUUACUUUGAUUUAUGAAUGAAAAAUAUUAUUAUUUAGUUUUUGUAAGUUUAUUAUUUUUUUUGGACGUUUUACAUUGGGUGGUAACCACCCAAUGUGAGAAUCCUAGAUCCGCCACUGUUCCCUAGUAUGGCAUAUGUUCUCUCAUUUUCUCCAAACAAUUUUUCUCAAUAUCCCAACCUACAUGCUUGUCUCUCCUCCUUAAUGAUCUUUUUUUUUUAAAUUUUUUUUAUUAUUUUUUUGCAGCUUGUUUCACACGUUAUUACUUUUUAAGUUUUGUUUUAGAUGGGUUAGGUUUAAUGUCCCCCUCCUACAUUCCUUGUAUCUUUCUUGUUUCUGUUUCUAGAGGGAUAUGGUUAAUGUUCCCCUUUUUUCAUCUAUUUUUUUUUCCUUGUAUCAUGAGAGGUAAAGUUUAUGUCCCUUUUAACUAGAUGACUUUCUUUCGUUACCAAUAAAAUUCUCUUGUAUCGCCGACGUUUCUUAAAAAAAAACAUAGUUUUAUUCAAAAUCGAUGUGUGAAUUCGUGUAUAUAAAACCUUUGCCCCAAGAAAGUAUAGAACCAGAACUGAAACUUUACGCUUUACACUCUUGUAUUCUAAGUACUCUCUUAGAAGUCUAGAACCAGAACUGUGGAACCUUUUUGUUCUCGUUGCCUGCUAUCAUAACUACAAUAUAACUAAUUUCUUUGAAAAUUUUUCUGUAGCGAUGGAUUAGGUGCGAACCUUCCAAACUAGCAUAGGGAUACAUCUCUAUUUCAAUCCACUUUUUGACAGUUUCUACAAUAUAACUAAUUUUUUUGACAAUUUUGUUGUAGCGAUGGAUUAGGCGCGAACCCUCCAAACUAGCAUAGGGAUACAUCUCCAUUUAAGGGUAAAGUGAAUAGUACCAUGAUUGACUUUUUAGUGUAAAAAUGUGGUUUUUCGUUAAAGUGAGCAGUACCGGGAACUUUUCGUUAAAGUUCCCUUAAAAUAAUUCCCACUUUUUCUAAAACCACGACAAACUAACUCAUACUGUGACAACUUGUUCCUAAUUUUCCGUUUUUAUUAAUUUUAAAAGCGUGGAUUGACGAAAAUGCAAUAAAGGUAAGGACUUUGACUUCUGUUGACCAUCGUGUAGAGAAGCGUAUGACUUAUUCUUUUGACGUAUUUGCGUAGUACUCGAUGGUAUGAACGCAUAGGCAAAGACCGUUUGCGAGUCCGGAUUAUAACGGUAUAGUUACAGAUGUUUGAAAUUGGUUACUUACAUUUUAGAUUAUAAAUUAUUUGAACUCGCACCAUGUGGGAAUGGUAACCAAUCAGAAGUAAGGGAAGGAAAUAAGGGACCACUAAGUUAAAAGAAAGAGAUGACCAAUCAGAAAAUGAGAAGAAAGGGAAGGAAGGUGGUACGGGGGAGGAAGUCCCCAUUUGAUGGGAAGCGGAAGAACUAGAGAAGGAGGAGGUGAGUGGACCAAUGGGAGGAAGAGAAGGGAAGAAAGGAGAGAGGAGUGCGAGGCACGGGAUUAGGAGCAGUGUCUGGAAAAAAAAUUGAAAUAAGGACAGUUGAGAAAUGUAUCAAAACUGUCUUGAGCAACAAAAAAUAAAUAAACAAUUUGACCGCAAUUAAAUUACAGGACCAUUAAAUCUUUUCACACACAAAAAUAGCAAUAUUCUAUGAACUAGAAAAACAUACAAAAAUAGCUAUAUUUUAUGAAUUAAAAAAACAAAAAUCUUCUAAUGCUCACAUUAAAAAUCAAGUUUUCUACCUACCCAUAGUGAAACAAAGGACAAUUGGUUUUGUUUAUUAGUUUGGCACGUGUGGUAGUUGGAAUAAUGAAAGUGGGAUGGUGGACGACAAUGGAAAAUGGAAGUGGGGAUGGUGGACGUCAUUUCAUCACCUUCAUAUUUAAUAAGGUAACAGGCUUUCCAUUAGGGGGCAAGUUUGAAAAAAAAAUAAAAAAUUAUUGUGUUGAGCUUUUAGUUCGGUCACCAGCUUUUAUGUUUGGAGGGCUGGUACAUGAAUAGUUUGUCAUUAAGAUUAAAUUUUAUGUUUUUAUGGUUAAAUAAUAGUUUAUGGUAGUAUUUGGUUAAAUUAAAGUUAGGUUCAAGUUCUUUUCAUUAAAGCCUCUUUUUUUUUUCCUUGUAUUAUGAGAGGUAAAGUUUAUGUCCCUUUUAACUAGAUGUAACUUUCUUUCGUUACUAAUAAAAUUCUCUUGCAUCGCAGACGUUUGUUAAAAAUAAAAAAAUAAAAAAAGUUUUAUUCAAGAUGGAUGUGUGAAUUCGUGUAUAUAAAACCUUUCCCCAAGAAAGUAUAGAACUAGAAGUAAAACUUUACACUUUACACUCUCAUAUUCUAAUUACUCUCUUAGAAGUCUAGAACCAAAAUUGUGGAACCUUUUUGUUCCCGUUGCCUGCUAUCAUAACUACAAUAUAACUAAUUUUUUUCGACAAUUUUGUUGUAGCGAUGCAUUAGGUGCAAACCCUCCAAACUAGCAUAGGGAUGCAUCUCUAUUUCAAUCCACUUUUUGACAGUUUCUACAAUAUAACUAAUUUUUUUUGACAAUUUUGCUAUAGCGAUGGAUUAGGUGCGGACCCUCCAAACUAGCAUAGGGAUACAUCUCAAUUUCAAUCCACUUUUUGACAAUUUUGGUGUAGUGGUCAGCCCUCUAGAACACUUUUGUAGUCUUUUAUUAUGUUACUGAGACCAGCUGAAUUUCCUUAACAAAUUGUCAAAUUCCAAGCAGGAAGUAAAGAUAUCUAACUCUAAAAUAAUUACAAAGUAUGGAACAACAUUAAUAUUAACAAACCAGUAUAUCCAGUAAUUCCCACAAACAAGUACUUACUUCGUUUUUGUAUGUACAAUACCUCUUAACUUGUUACACAUUUCAAUAGGUUUGGAGGAAAAACGUGAAGAAAUAGAAUUUCACCCCUGCUUUUUUUACCCCAUCCCUAAUAAAAGUUUCACCUCACCAUAAUCUGUUCAUUGAAAUCUCCAAGAUAUUAAGUUUCAUGUACGCUAUGUGCACGUUCCCAACUUAAUGCAAGUCAUGACCUUAUCACGAUUAGAUUAUAUAGGGCAACUUAGUGCAACUAUUCAAGUCAUGACCUUAUCAAGAUUAGAUUAUAUAGGGCUAUAUUCUCGUGACAUUCUAAAUUAUUUAUAGUGUUGUGAAGGUGUCUAGCCAAUUGAUAUCGAAGACUUUUGGUACUUAUUUAUAAUCUAUACUUUUACUAAUUAUUUAUUAUCUGUAUUGAUCCACGUUCUUAAUUAAAUAUUAACGGUUACAUGUUUUCCUCAUACAUACUUUCUCUAUAUAAACGCCACGCGAGGAAGGCCAAAACCAUUCCAGUUCACCAAAAGCCCUAAUUAGCAAUUGCCAUCCAUCUUGAAUAAAACUUUUUUUUAUUUUUUUAUUUUUAACAAACGUCUGCGAUACAAGAGAAUUUUAUGGUAACGAAAGAAAUUUACAUCUAGUUAAAAGGGACAUAAACUUUACCUCUCAUAAUACAAGGAAAAAAAAGAGAGGCUUUAAUGAAAAGAACUUGGCUGAUGAUCAAUACCACCACUAUAAGGUUCAAAAAUUUCAUUAACUUUGUUCUCCAGUCCUUCUGAAUUAUUCAAUAGUAUAAGGAGAAUUAAAGAAUUUACGGCCUUAAGAAAAUUAAGGACGUUGAAGAUGAGGCAUUUUCUUAUAAUACAUAUUGUGUUAUUCUAUAUAGGAAGAUGUAAAGAUUAUGAAUGAUAUGAGAUUGGAUGCUUAUAGGUUCUCUAUCUCAUGGUCAAGAUUGUUACCAAGUAAGUUGCUCAUCCGCAUUCGCAUUAAUUAGUUGGGACGAAGUAGUGUGCAGGCCUGGCCCAGGCCCAGUGCCACAGGGGCAACUGUCCAGGGCCCAAAACUAAAGGGGGCACCAAAAAAAUAACCCAAAUAACUAGGUAUUAAAAAAAAAAGGUCCAAAGCCCAAAUAGGGGCUGGAGGGCAAGAGCCCAAGAAAAGUGAAAAAAAGGCCCAGGUUUAAUUUUAUAUAUAUAAAAAAAAAAUUACAAAACGACAUUUAAAGGGACCACUCGGUCCCCACAAACCCUAUAUUCCCAUAUCCCUACUCCCCUUUCCCGAUAUCCUCCCCUCCCCCCUCCCCCCAACCCCCCCACCCCCUGGUUCCCCACUUCCCUCCCUGCCGUCUGAGUCCCUUUUCAAUUGCAAUCUCCUGCAGGACUGGAGGUCCUUGUCCCUUCUCCUCAGUAGCGCCAAGCCCAUUCACCAUUCAUUGGUUGCUGCAAGUGCAAGUGCCAAGAGCAUUCACUCACCACCAACCCUUUUGAGUUUUGAGGUAAACUAAUUUUUAAAAUUUGAAUUAUCAAUUCAUAAUUUAAUAUAAAAUUUUGCAAGUGACAUAGAAUUAUAUGAUAAUUGAUGUAUAGAAUUGUUAUUGUUGAUGAAUUGAAUUACUGAUUUCAUUUCAAACCCAAUUUUUAGGUUCAAUUUUUAUAAUAUGUUAGACUAUGUGUUAGUAUUUUUAUAAUAUAUAAUAUGUGUUGGAAUGAUAAUUUUGAUAGGAAAUUUUUAUUAUAUCAUGUUUAGGUAAUUUUUGCAAACAAAUUAUGGAAGCCAUGUCUUUUAGGAAACAACUCUCUGGUAAUAUGAAAAGGAAAAAAAAGGCAAAGGAUAACGAAAUUGCCGAAAGUUUAAGAGGAUCUCUUCAUAAAGUUUUCUCUACAAAGAAUGAGUCAGUUGAAAAUUUGAGAGAAAAUAAUGUUGGUGAAGAAUCACAAAAUGUUGUUGCGGAGUCUCAUGAUCAUGAAAAUAGUAGUGAUUUAGAAGAAAAUGUUGCUGAUGCGUCUGAAGACCAUGAAAAUGUGGUGAUGUGAAUUUAAAUGUUGAUGAUGAUCAUAUUGGUGUAGAGGAAAAUAUUGAAUCUCCUGAACCUAUUUUCCAUUUAAACAUUUAUGAUCCAAGAGUUUGGGAUGGUCUUAAUGCAGAAAUGAGAGACUUGUAGAAAAGAGACCAAUUUGAGAAACUAAUAUCAUUUAUCCUAAGGACAAACUCUCUAGAAAAUUUUCCUCACACUACUAUGAUCGAAAAUUACCAACAUGUGAAAUUUAUGAUAGGAAAUUCCCCCCCCUUGGUUGUAUAUUUUCUCAAAUAAUAUAAUUUGGGCGUGAGGGCCUAGCCCCCUAGCUUCGACUGGGUUCCAGCCCUCGUUAAAUAUUUUUUUUUUCAAACAUAUAUUUUAGUAUUAAAAAAGGGCACAUUUUGAGCUUUCGUACUGGGCAUCCAAAAACUCAGGACCGGCCCUGGUAGUGUGUCCAUUCAUGAUGUUUGCUCUAAGUAAUAUAACCAAUAAUAUUUGUAGUUUAACCUAUUUUGUCCCCUUUCGAAUGUAUUUGCUUAUGUUCUUGUUUAAUUUUAAUUAUAUAAUUAGAUGGAAAGCUAAGUGGGGGUGUGAACAAGGAAGGAGUACAAUACUACAACAAUCUCAUCAAUGAACUCCUAAACAAAGGUGAUGCAACUGCUUAAUCUCAUAUAUCAUCCCACCUUACAAAUACACACACACACACAUAUACAUAUAUGCAUAUUAAGAGUUACAUGUUAUAUAAUCGAGCGUGUUGCUUUUAUUGAUAAUGCACAGGUGUAACGCCAUAUGCGACAAUCUUUCAUUGGGAUCUUCCUCAAGCUUUAGAAGAAGAAUAUGGUGGUUUCUUAAACCGUCAAAUUGUGUAAGUAGUAGACUUUGAUUCUCUAAUUAAUAAUAAUUCUUUAUCUUCUUGACGAUUGAUCGUUUAGAUAUUCAAAUGUAUAUUGCUAUAAUGCGUAAACCUUCAAAAUCAGCAUGCAACUGAUUUUUAAUUUUCCAUGUUGCAGCAAUCAUUUUCGAGACUAUGUAGAACUUUGCUUUCAAGUUAUUUGGUGAUCGGGUAAAGCAUUGGAUCACACUAAAUGAGCCAUAUACUUUUAUUACUUUUGGCUAUGCAUCAGGAGAAUUAGCACCCGGGCGAUGUUCUGCUUGGCAGAACUUAAACUGCAACGGCGGUGAUUCGGCUACCGAACCCUAUAUGGUAGCACCACUUCCUCCUCGCUCAUGCAGAUGCUGUUAAAGUGUACAAGACUAAAUAUCAGGUCAUAUUAAUACUCAAUGUUGUAAUAUUAAAUUAAUGAGAUAGGGUUAAUUUACCUUUUUUCAUACCGUAACUAAUCAAGUUUGGGUGGUGAUGUGCAGGCAUCUCAAGAAGGCGUGAUAGGAAUAACAUUAGCGACAAAUUGGUUUGUGCCAGUUUCUAACGCAACACGUCAUUGGAAUGCUGCAAAUCGAUCAUUGGAUUUUAUGUUUGGAUGGCAAGUUUAUUAAUUCCAAACUUAUAUAUCAACCCAAUUAACUGUUCAUUUAUAUGAUAAUAAUACAAAAUUUAUUGAUGAAAUUUCAAUGAUUAUGUAGGUUUAUGGAGCCAUUGACAAGCGGCCAAUAUCCGCACAGUAUGCAAGUUCUUGUUAAAGAAAGAUUACCUAAAUUUACAGAAGAAGAAUCCAAGUUAAUAAAAGGGCCAUUUGAUUUUGUUAGAAUGAAUUAUUAUACUACUCACUAUUCAAGUGAUCGACCUCAUAAUAAUUCUGCAAAUGCAAGCUUCUUGACCGAUGCUCGCGUUUUUGAAUCAAGUGAGUACAAAAUGAGAAACCAAUUAUUUAAUUUGAGUAAUUUAAGUUCAUCAAAAUAUUUAAAAUCUCAUAUUCCUAAAUGUUGUGGCAGCCGAGCUUAAUGGAGUCCCCCUUGGUCCUCCGGUACGUAUCGAACAAUUAGCUAAACUAUUUGCAUUCAAAGAGUAAAUGUUUUUCAUUUAGUUAACUUACCUUCAUAAAUUGGGGUUGCAGGCUGCUUCAAGCUGGCUAGUUGUUUAUCCAAAAGGCAUCCAAGAGAUUUUACUCUACACAAAGCACAAAUAUAAUGAUCCGCUCAUUUACAUUACUGAGAACGGUAAUUAUUUUUAAGCCUUAAUUAACUAAAUAAUUAAUGCUUCACAUGUAUAUGGUGUAAAAUGCAGUUGACAUCUAUAAGUGAUCUACAUAUAAAACUAGAUGGGAACUCCCAAACAUUUAGCAAUCUGUUGAAUCGAUAGGAAUGAAAUGAUGAAUCUAUAAUUCUUCGCCUCUUCGUCAAUAAAAAACAUCGAAUAAAAAAUUAAUUAUAUUGUAGGCAUUGAUGAGUUCGAUGAUCCCAAAUUGUCACUUCCGCAAUCCCUCAAUGAUACCCAUAGAAUUGAUUACCACUACCACCACCUCAACUAUCUUCGAAAAGCAAUCGAGUAAGUUCUUUUGAAAAGUUAAAUAAGGUUUAACUUAUAUCUUUUACUUAUCACUACACUAGACAUACUUACAUUUGAAAUUCGCCUUUUUGUGCAGUGAUGGUGUAAAUGUGAAGGGAUACUUUGCAUGGUCAUUGACGGACAAUUUUGAAUGGGGUGCUGGAUACACCUUACGAUUUGGUUUCGUCUAUAUAGAUUACAAUGAUGGACUUAAGAGGCACCCAAAAGUCUCAGCAAGCUGGUUUAAAUAUUUCCUUGGAUAAUGGUGAAGAUAUCCUGCUGCAGUUGUUGUUCGUGAAAUAAAUAUGCCAAGCAUAUCAUUUCCCUAUUUUCAUAAUUGUAUUCCUUUAGGAAUGUUCUUCCUCUUUCAUAAAAUAAAUAUGCCAAUUAUAUAUGGAUGUUUCUUUGUGUAUGGACAAAAUAAAAAAUGGUCCCUAUAACAUACAGGAUGUGGGAAUAUGAUUUUCUUGUCUCCUAAGUAAGAAAACCCUAUAAAAAAUGGUCCUUAUAACAUGUGGCAUCUCGGGUGGACAAAAUAAAAAAUGGUCCCUAUAAAAAAUGGUCCCUAUAAAAAAUGGUCCUUAUAACAUGUGUAUGUACAAAAUAAAAAAUGGUCCCUAUAACAUGUGUAUGGACAAAAUAAAAAAUGGUCCCUAUAAAAAAUGGUCCUUAUAACAUGUGGCAUCUCGGGUGGCAAGAGGGACCGGAAUACUUGUAACCCAUGAGCGUAGUCCUUAGUCUGACAUACUACACAUUGAAGAUGUUACUUGUCUCCUAAGUAAGAAAACCCUAAUUCAAGUCAAAUUAGGAUAUCUUAGAAAUUAGAUAAUGCAAUCAUAAUCGUAAGAAGAUUGGAUAUCUUAUCCUAGAUUCCCGAUUUGAUAGGCUUACUCUCCCUACCAAGACUAUGAACAACUGUUCAUCUUCUCUAUAACUAUCGUACGCAUAUUUUCUCUAUGCCUAACAGAGGCUCAUCUUGCAUACACGCCACCGUCUACACAUAGACGCGUUCAUUAGAAACUUAUCUUCUUAACGCCUCGCCAUAGGCUAUUCGUCAAGAAUAGUUCAUGAUGUAGUUCACAUCGCACCAUUCUUUCUUAGGGUUACACCAGUGAGGUAAUGCAUUCGUAUUGAUUAACCUUUCAAUAGAUGUCAACGGCCAUGCCAUGUGCUAUUAACAUGUUAUGCAUAUGAGAGAUUCACAUCAGAAUUACCAGUGGAACAAUUACCAAACGGCUGUGAACAAUGAGCUUGUGUAAAUACUCCUCUUAUAUAGGCUAAAUGAAUAAUGAGAUUGUUGUAAAACCCAAAUAAAAGGAGUUUAUAAAGGGACCAAUUAGGACGAUUUGAGAGAGAGGACUCCAUUGUUGCCUGUGAAUUGAUAUGAUAAAAAAGACAGAGACAAUAGAAACGAAAAUACCACUCAAACACCCAAUGGCAUUGGGAUAUAUCCUUUGUAAAUGGGUUGAAAGCCUCAUCACCUCUUUAUGCUGCAAUUCAAAAAAGCACGAUCAAAUCUCGGAAUUGAGUAGCAAUAGAAGAAUCUAGGGGACUAAAAAAGUUCCCAAAUAAAUUAAAACUGCAUAAACAAAAAAAAACAAAAAUAAUAUUUGAAUACGUGAGAUGAUUGAAGAACUAAUGGAGGAAGAAAUUGAAUGGAGUUUUACGCUAGCCAAAGGUUAAGAGGGAGGAGCGGAGUUUGAUGCAAAUUGGCACGGGCAGUUGUGAAACAGCGGGAACGUGUUGUAGUAGUUGUGAAAGAGUGAGAACUAUUAUCAAACUACCCUUUGGGAUGAUGAAUUUGGUUUUUUUUACCAGUUUGUCCUUAUUUUCUGAUUUUUUUUGGGUUUGAUUGUGAAGAAAAUAUAAGGAUAUUCUUGGUAUUUUGGAAUGUUUCACCAAACUGAGGCUCUCACUUUAUAUAUACUUUAUAUAUAUAGAUAUAGAUUAACGGUUACAUGUUUUCCUCAUACAUACUUUCUCUUUACUAGCCUCUUGCCACACGCAUUCGCGUGUGGCAAUUGACCUUUUUAUAUUAGAUUAUGUCUUUUAAUUUUUUUUAAGUUAACUAUUUUAUAUUUUUAUUAAAAAAUUAUUCAGAAAAAAAAAAGCAAAACCAUGAAACUACCCACUAACAUGGGAGUUUUUUUUAAUUAAAGUUUUAAAUUUAAAAUUCAUUCAAAAUUAAAAUGUGGUGAAUUACUUUAAAUUCUUAUGGUUCAAUUGUAAUUUUUAGAAUUUUUGACAGACAAUCUUUGGUAUUUUGAAUGUUUCACCUUUUUAUCCUUCUCACUUUAUGUCUAUAUAUAUAUAUAAAGUGAGAGCCCCAGUUUGGUGAAACAUUCAGUAAACCCAAUAUUGCCCUUUGCUUCAUUCACAAUUAAAAACCACAAAAGUUUAGAAAAUGAGGACAAAGUCGUAAAAACACCAUAAUUGGGUAGAAAACAAAUAAAAUAAAAUAAAAUCUAUAAACAUACGUGCUUAACAGUUAACCCUCACAAACUGCUAAGAAGUAGUGGGCAGUUUAAAAACACAAACUAAAAAAAAAUAAUAUAUUUACCAUAUAUGUAAAAAAGAAGUAUAAAAAAGGUUACAGUAGAAAGAAAAUAUAAAAAUUUAAAAUAUAAAAAAUUUAAAAAGUAUUGGAAAAGAAAACAGAAAUUUGAAAAAAAAGAAGAAAAACAAGUAGACGUGCUUAAGCCUCUCAAACUGCUAAGCAGUAGUGGGCAAUUUUCUCUCCCAAAGAUUUCCACGAUCUGAGUUUGGUGGGAAGGUUCAACACUAACCACCUGCAUACCACCAAUAUUUAGAGAUGUGUAAUCGGAAUGAGGCUAAUUUUAAUUUUCAGGAAUUCGCUGUGUGGUUUCAGUUCAUUCCAAACAAAAAAAGAUCGACAAACUCAGUGACAGAAAUUAGUAAAAGAUUUGAGCUUUCGGAACAAAUUUUUCUCCAAAAAUCAAAAAUUUCAUCGGGUUAGUGAUUCAUCUUUUCAGUUUUCGUUCUCUUCAACUUUUGUAAAUUCGAUAAAAGUUAUUUGUUCAUCCAAUUGGGUUAUCAGGAAAUGUUCAACUCUUUGUUUACAAAGGAUAUGAUUUUGGCUGCAGUUUAGGUUCUUGGAUUGAUUCCACAUUUCAAAUCAACUUCUAACCUACUAACCUUGAUGGAGGGGAGGGGCAGAGGAUGAAGAAAAUUCCGGGCAAAGAGCUUUGACUCCCUGAUUCACUGCGGCAACAACAUACCACCAUCCUCCUUUCGUUCCCAUGUCACCAGAAGCAACAAGAAGAUAUAAAACAAAAUUGGUGUUUUGAAAUUCUGAUUAAUUUUGCUGAAGUAAUGAAUAAUUUUGAUUACUGUUUUUAGUCAUUCACAUGUUCUUUUUUCGUUGUCUUCCAUUUUUCGUAAAUCCGAUUACAGUUUUUAAAACAUCAACUCAUGUUACUAACAAACAAUUUCAUGGCUUUCUAUGGUUGUACAGACUCAUUGGUUGCUGACCCAUUUGUUAGGGCUCAAACAAAAAGAAAGUUGAGAAAGUCUAUUCUUGUCGUAGAAGUCCUGUUGGCAGUGAGCUGAAGAAAGGAAAGGUGUGAACACCAUAAUAGGUGGCCUUUUGCUUUUGGCACCGAGAUAUUUCCAAAAUUUCCCUUAAGCUUUAGCAUUGCCACUUGCCGGAUGUGUUUGCAUUUUAUGAUACAAAUUCCAAUGUUAUACAUGCAAAUAGUUAUAAGAACAUUUAUCUGAUGUUUUCUACCUCAUUCAACAACUUAAUUACACUCCCACUGUUUUGGUUGGAAGUUGAGAGUCUUCAUUCCAUCGACGUCCUUUCCUUCACAAUUUAUACUGAAAAUUACUUGCAAAAUGUAAUAUGAAUGGUUUGGUUGACAGUUACAUUAUUACAAUGUGAACAUCCAACAUCGAUUAUAUUAGCAAUAGAUAAAGACGCUCAAGAUUGUUUAAACUAAUAAAACUCUGAUUCCUCAAUUUGACGAGACAAAACUGAAUCAAUCAUAUUCCAUGAAUGAAAUAACAAAAACUUUGAGAAACAACAAAACAAGACUACAUUUGUGUUAAGGAGGACCAUGGAAACUUGAAUGGCAUACAAAAUUGCAGCAAAAAACAUGUGUUGCAAAGUUAUCUGGAAAUCUAUCUGGAAUCGAUUGACUGGUAUCAAAUUUUUUAGAUAUUAGAAAAAAAUGUACAUCAAGUAACACAUGUUAUACAUGAUGAGAUAUUAGAAAAAUAUAUGUUAAAAUAGGACAUAUCUACCAUAUCGUCAGCUUAUAUGGCCAAACUUAAAAAAAAGAGUAAUGGUAUGAGUAAAAGAGCAGCACGACAUCGUUCUCCUGGGAAUAUUCAGGUCAAAGUCCAAUUAUUUGCAUCUCUCAAAUUUGUUAAUUUAUCCAUUUUGUCUGGCUUAACAAACAAUCAUCUUUUUCAUGUGGCCUGCAUUUCAUCACCAUAUUCUCCCUAAAAAACAAAACAACAUCCUCAACACAGCACCUCAUCAUAAAAAUCUACACCACCCUCUUUUCACCCAAUUAUAAUCCUACACGAUUGCACCCCCUUCAAGAUCAACCACAAAACCUCCAUCGGUUCAUCUCAGAACAUCUACAAAACCCAACGGCUCCCCAAACUGAAAUUAUAUUCCUUAGCGCACUUGAUCGCAUCUCCCGCCACAGCUACCAUAUCCAAACCAAUCGCAUUUCCCCGUCCCAACGCGGCGAGAUACAAUGUUCAGACUUAACUCGGUGCCCCUCCCGACUCUGUCCCAACGGUCAGCCAUGGCCGCCAUCCACUCCAUAGCAGCUCAGAGCUUCCUCUCUCUCCCGAACCCCAAACCCAGAAAACGCAUUGCCGCUCACCCAAAACCCAUCUUGACCUCCAAACUCCCAAAAAACCCAACUUUCCCCAGAAACAAACAGAAAGGCAGGAGGGUUUUGAACUCGGCGGUCAAGCGAGAAGAGUGCGAUGUGAUUCCGGUUCAGAGCUCCGACAGUACGGACCAGCAGGAAGGGGUGGUGGCCAGCAGGGUGGAGAGCGAAGCCGGGGAUCAGGGGGAGUUGGUGAGUCAGGUGGGCGGGUUCGGAGCGAGUGAGGGGAGGCUUUCGUUUGAAGGGGCUGGUGGGUUUGGGUCUACUGGGGUUGGAAGUGAGAGGGAGAGUGAGGAAUUCGAGAGGCCGGUGGAAAAACUACUAACUAAUAUACCUAGUCGUUAUAGCAGUGCUUCCCUGAACAGAAGCAGUGCUUCCCUGAACAGGAGCAGUUUUCCAUCAGGCUUUGUAUUUGGUUCAGCUUCAGCAUCUUACCAAGUUAGUGUUUCUGCACUUAAUAAGUUGUUAGGGUUUUCGUUUAAUGUCCGCCCUAUUAGCAUACAUGCAGGAAAAUACUAAGAUGCUCAUUUUGUACUCUUAUAUGUGUAAAUUAAUUUCAGUAUGAAGGUGCAUGGAAUGAAGGUGGUAAAGGACCAAGCAUAUGGGAUAACUUCACCCACCAGUAUCCAGGUACCUACACCGGUGCCAGAUUGAAUUGAACCUUGAUUAAUACAGAUUUAUACUUAACCUUUACAAGGGUUAGACAUUGAUGGGGGACGAGGCCUAAACCAUGAGGUUUAUGAAGAUAAUGAAAAUUUUACAUGGUUAAUUGCAGAAAAAAUCAGUGAUGGAAGCAAUGGGGACGUGGCUAAUGAUCAAUACCACCGCUAUAAGGUUCAAAAAUUUCAUUAACUUUGUUCUCCAGUCCUUCUGAAUUAUUCAAUAGUAUAAGGAGAAUUAAAGAAUUUACGGCCUUAAGAAAAUUAAGGAGGUUGAAGAUGAGGCAUUUUCUUAUAACACAUAUUGUGUUAUUCUAUAUAGGAAGAUGUAAAGAUUAUGAAGGAUAUGGGAUUGGAUGCUUAUAGGUUCUCUAUCUCAUGGUCCAGAUUGUUACCAAGUAAGUUGAUCAUCCGCAUUCGCGUUAAUUAGUUGGGACGAAGUAGUGUGUCCAUGCAUGAUGUUUGCCCUGAGUAAUAUAACCAAUAAUAUAUGUAGUUUAACAUAUUUUGUUCCCCUUUCGAAUGUAUUUGCUUAUGUUCUUGUUUAAUUUUAAUUAUAUAAUUAGAUGGAAAGCUAAGUGGGGGUGUGAGCAAGGAAGGAGUACAAUACUACAACAAUCUCAUCAAUGAACUCCAAAACAAAGGUGAUGCAACAGCUUAAUCUCAUAUAUCAUCCCACCUUACAAAUAUAUAUAUACAGACACACAUAUACAUAUAUACAUAUUAAGAGUUACAUGUUAUAUAAUCGAGCGUGUUGUUUUUAUUGAUCAUGCACAGGUAUAGCGCCAUAUGUGACAAUCUUUCAUUGGGAUCUUCCUCAAGCUUUAGAAGAAGAAUAUGGUGGUUUCUUAAACCGUCAAAUUGUGUAAGUGUAGACUUUGAUUCUCUAAUUAAUAAUAAUUCUUUAUCUUCUUGAUGAUUGAUCGUUUACAUAUUCAAAUGUAUAUUGCUAUAAUGCAUAAACCUUCAAAAUCAGCGUGCAACUGAUUUUUAAUUUUCCAUGUUGCAGCAAUCAUUUUCGAGACUAUGCAGAACUUUGCUUUAAGUUAUUUGGCGAUCGGGUAAAGCAUUGGAUCACACUAAAUGAGCCAUAUAAUUUUAUUAAUUUUGGCUAUGCAUCAGGACAAUUAGCACCCGGGCGAUGUUCUGCUUGGCAGAACUUAAACUGCACCGGCGGUGAUUCGGCUACCGAACCCUAUAUAGUAGCACACCACUUCCUCCUCGCUCAUGCACAUGCUGUUGAAGUGUACAAGACUAAAUAUCAGGUCAUAUUAAUACUCAAUGUUGUAAUAUUAAAUUGAUGAGAUAGGGUUAAUUUACCUUUUUUCAUACCGUAACUAAUCAAGUUUAGGUGGUGAUGUGCAGGCAUCUCAAGAAGGCGUGAUAGGAAUAACAUUAGCGGCAAAUUGGUUUGUGCCAAUUUCUAACGAAACUCGUCAUCAGAAUGCUGCAAAUCGAUCUUUGGAUUUUAUGUUUGGAUGGCAAGUUUAUUUGUUCCAAACUUAUAUAUCAACCCAAUUAAAUGUUCAUUUAUACGAUAAUAAUACAAAAUUUAUUGACGAAAUUUCAAUGAUUAUAUAGGUUUAUGGAGCCAUUGACAAGCGGCCAAUAUCCGCACAGUAUGCAAGUUCUUGUUAAAGAAAGAUUACCUAAAUUUACAGAAGAAGAAUCCAAGUUAAUAAAAGGGUCAUUUGAUUUUGUUGGAAUGAAUUAUUAUACUACUCACUAUUCAAGCGAUCAACCUGAUAAUAAUUCUGCAAAUCCAAGCUUCUUGACCGAUGCUUGCGUUUUUGAAUCAAGUGAGUACAAAAUGAAAAACCAAUUAUUUAAUUUGACUAAUUUAAGUUCAUCAAAAUAUUUAAAAUCUCAUAUUCCUAAAUGUUGUGGCAGCCGA
rnacentral:lncRNA from 1 species